CUCAGUUCGGAUCGGAGUCUGCAACCCGACUCCGUGAAGCUGGAUUCGCUAGUAAUCGCGCAUCAGCCAUGGCGCGGUGAAUACGUUCCCGGGCCUUGUACACACCGCCCGUCAAGCCAUGGAAGCCGGGGGCGCUUGAAGUGCGUUGCCGCAAGGCGCGCCCUAGAGCGAAACCGGUGACUGGGGCUAAGUCGUAACAAGGUAUC
rnacentral:rRNA from 1 species